UACGUAGGUGGCCAGCGUUGUCCGGAUUUACUGGGCGUAAAGAGCGCGCAGGCGGUCGUUCAAGUCGCGUGUGAAAGCCCCCGGCUCAACUGGGGAGGGUCACGCGAUACUGAUCGACUCGAAGGCAGGAGAGGGAAGUGGAAUUCCCGGUGUAGUGGUGAAAUGCGUAGAUAUCGGGAGGAACACCAGUGGCGAAGGCGAGUCUCUGGCCUGAUAUUGACGCUGAGGAGCGAAAGCGAGGGGAGCAAACGGG
rnacentral:rRNA from 1 species